GCACAUAAAAAUUUCUGUUUUUAUGCUUUUCUGAGUCAAUAAGUAGACAUUGAGGCAUCUUAUUAAGCGUUUUGUGAUGUCACUAAAAAUGUGCCCUCCUGCAACAGGUAUUCCUGCUACACAGGCUAAUAUUCAUUAACUGAUGGCUGCCAAUUAAACUGAAUGUAUUUUUAAGGUUUGUACAACAAUGAUGCAACUAAAAAAGCACAUGUCCCGUUGAUAACAAAGAA